rnacentral:rRNA from 1 species
GUGUCAGCAGCCGCGGUAAUACGAAUCGUCCAAACGUUGUUCGGAUUUACUGGGUUUAAAGGGCGCGUAGGCGGUGCGCUAAGUCGGUGGUGAAAUACUUCGGCUCAACCGGAGAAUUGCCGCUGAAACUGGCGUGCUCGAGGGAGGUAGAGGUGCGUGGAACUUCCGGUGGAGCGGUGAAAUGCGUUGAUAUCGGAAGGAACACCUGUGGCGAAAGCGAUGCACUGGACCUCUUCUGACGCUGAGGCGCGAAAGCCAGGGGAGCGAACGGGAUUAGAUACCCCAGUAGUCC